AUAGCGUAUAUUAAAGUUGUUGCGGUUAAAAAGCUCGUAGUUGAAUCUGUGUGCCACGCUGUCGGUUCACCGCUCGCGGUGUUUAACUGGCAUGACUGUGGGACGUCCUACCGGUGGGCUUAGCUCCUUCGGGGGCGGCCCAACUAAUAUCCCAUCGCGGUGCUCUUCGCUGAGUGUCGAGGUGGGCCGGUACGUUUACUUUGAACAAAUUAGAGUGCUUAAAGCAGGCUAUUUUCGCCUGAAUACUGUGUGCAUGGAAUAAUGGAAUAGGACCUCGGUUCUAUUUUGUUGGUUUUCGGAACCCCGAGGUAAUGAUUAACAGGAACAGAUGGGGGCAUUCGUAUUGCGACGUUAGAGGUGAAAUUCUUGGAUCGUCGCAAGACGGACAGAAGCGAAAGCAUUUGCCAAAAAUGUUUUCCUUAAUCAAGAACGAAAGUUAGAGGUUCGAAGGCGAUCAGAUACCGCCCUAGUUCUAACCAUAAACGAUGCCAGCUAGCGAUCCGCCGAAGUUCCUCCGAUGACUCGGCGGGCAGCUUCCGGGAAACCAAAGCUUUUGGGUUCCGGGGGAAGUAUGGUUGCAAAGCUGAAACUUAAAGGAAUUGACGGAAGGGCACCACCAGGAGUGGAGCCUGCGGCUUAAUUUGACUCAACACGGGAAACCUCACCAGGCCCGGACACCGGAAGGAUUGACAGAUUGAGAGCUCUUUCUUGAUUCGGUGGGUGGUGGUGCAUGGCCGUUCUUAGUUGGUGGAGCGAUUUGUCUGGUUAAUUCCGAUAACGAACGAGACUCUAGCCUGCUAAAUAGGCGUACUUUCCGGUAUCUCGAAGGCCCCCGGCUUCGGUCGGGCGGUUUUUACUACCGGCGUACAAAUUAAUCUUCUUAGAGGGAUAGGCGGCUUCUAGCCGCACGAGA
rnacentral:rRNA from 1 species